GGAUAAAAUAGCUUCUUGUGCUAUCAAAAAGAAAAGAAGAGAAGGCCACAAAUUGCAACUUACCCACCACGAACUCUCACUGAGAAGGAUUCGUCGGACUGGGCAAGCGAUGUGCGUAAUCAAAAGCGCCAGGCGAAUGCGUCGGCGGAGCUUCAGAGCGGAAAGAGAAAAGGGUCCUGUCGAAGAGGAGGGAGGUUCGGGUCUGGAUCCUCUCAGCGGCCUUUUUCUCAUUGUCCCUCGGAAAAUUUAAAUUCUAUCCGUCCGGUUGAUCUGAGAGCUCACAAAAAGCCUCAUGAAGCUUUUAAAUUCUGACCUCGCCCAGCCGAUUUCACGUUCUGCCACAUCCUAUCACGGCCAACCCUUCGGAACAGGGAUUUCCCACGCAGACAGGAAGCUCCGCGGUUCCCCAUGGUUAGGGGUAUGCCAAUACCUGCUGCCCUGGACGUUUUAGCCAAACAUUCGAACUUGAAACUUUUUGAGGUAAUGGCUGUCAUUGUUGAAGCUAUAGAAGAUGGACUUUCACCUGCUAAGAAUUGAUUGGAUAUUGUUCAAGCUAUGGAAGAUGGACACUCACCUAAUAAGAAAGAAGAGCAAUGUAGAUAUUUGUAUAGGGUACUAAAAAAGUUGUAAUGCAAGAGAGUGGCAGUUAUAUUUGGCAUCUUGAUGUACUAUGCAAUUUGAUUUUAUUAAAACUAACAAUUUUCCCUUAA